CCUACGGGUGGCUGCAGUGGGGAAUAUUGGACAAUGGGGGAAACCCUGAUCCAGCCAUGCCGCGUGAAUGAUGAAGGCCUUCGGGUUGUAAAGUUCUUUUGGUAGGGACGAUGAUGACGGUACCUACAGAAUAAGCUCCGGCUAACUUCGUGCCAGCAGCCGCGGUAAAACGAAGGGAGCAAGCGUCGUUCGGAAUUACUGGGCGUAAAGGGUGUGUAGGCGGUUCGACAAGUCAGAUGUGAAAGCCCCGGGCUCAACCUGGGAACUGCGUUUGAUACUGGCGGGCUAGAGUUCGGUAGAGGUGAGUGGAAUUCCCAGUGUAGAGGUGAAAUUCGUAGAGAUUGGGAAGAACACCGGUGGCGAAGGCGGCUCACUGGACCGACAUUGACGCUGAAACACGAAAGCGUGGGGAGCAAACAGGAUUAGAUACCCUAGUAGUC
rnacentral:rRNA from 1 species